rnacentral:pre_miRNA from 1 species
AGUGGAAUUGCUGGUCAUAUGAUAACUUUCUGUAAUUUUUUGAGAAACUGCCAGGCUGUUUUCCUAAGUAGCUGUGUCUUUUCCUUUCUUACCAGCAAU